GCGCGAAAACUUUACAAUGCUGGCAACAGCGAUAAGGGAACCUCGAGUGCCAGGUUACAAAUCUGGCUGUCGAGAUGCCUAAAAAGCAUUUCAUAGCAAGGGCCGGGCAAGACCGGUGCCAGCCGCCGCGGUCACACCGGCGGCUCGAGUGGUAACCGUUAUUAUUGGGUCUAAAGGGUCUGUAGCCGGCCGGAUAAGUCUUUUGAGAAAUCUGGCAGCUUAACUGUCAGGCUUUCAGGAGAUACUGUCUGGCUCGAGGCCGUGAGAGGUGAGAGGUACUUCAGGGGUAGGGGUGAAAUGUUGUAAUCCUUGAAGGACCACCAGUGGCGAAGGCGUCUCACCAGAACGGACCUGACGGCAAGGGACGAAAGCUAGGGGCACGAACC
rnacentral:rRNA from 1 species